rnacentral:misc_RNA from 1 species
AAGUCGUAACAAGGUUUCCGUAGGUGAACCUGCGGAAGGAUCAUUACCGAGAUAGGGUCUCCUGGCCCGAACCUCCAACCCUUGUGUACCGUCCUCUGUUGCUUUGGCGGUGUCCGCGGCCGGCUUGUUCGGCGCGCCCGCCAGAGCCCACUGCAACCCACCCAUCUGUACCGUCUGAGAAAUACACAAUAGUCAAAACUUUCAACAACGGAUCUCUUGGUUCUG